UCUGGAUUCUUUCGUCUUGCAAGUAGCAAGGGAACCCAAUGCAGAAAGGAAAAGGAAGAGAAACAAAAGCAAGAGGGGAAAAAAAGAAGAGGAGAUGGGCAAGUCAGGAACUGAUGGUUGGACGGAAUAAGCGAGAGAAUCAAAUGAGAACGUGAUCAGCUUCACUUCCAAAAUGCGAGAUUGGGUAGGAGGGCAUCCUUCUCGCUAUUCCUUCCCCCAUCUUCUUUUGGAUCGUUGGAUGAAACCGUUGGGCGUUGGAUGCUCACAUCCUACAACUGUCUAAGCACUUCUGGGCUCAGUUCACUGAAGAAUUUGGUUUUCUUGCCAUGAAUUAGAAGUUAUCACAUGUUUCAUUAAUGUAAGUUGUUUGAUGUAGUAAGUGGCUCUAGUUGAUCACCAUUCAAGAAUUCUUGCUUAGACAGUACAUACCAUCCUUACAUCUAGGAUUUCAAUUCUUCCAAAAAGGAUUAACUAUUGGGUUAUCUUGCUAAGCUCAACACAAAGGUUUGCAAAUUCUGUUCUACUUGUGCCAUUCAGAACUGGAAAGUCCAGAAACCAGAUCAUUGGUGAAGAUUUUUCUGGGAAGAUGGCGCUGCAAUGGUGAGAGGACCAUGGACAUGUUUAGCAGGACUCCUUUUAAACUCCAUAUUUUUCAAAAAACUUGUAUAAUUGACUCAAUGUUUAAAUAUGUUUUUCUCCAAAGGAAAAAAAAAAUGCUUUUCAUUAGAUUUUAAAAAAAAAAAAAAAAAACUUUUAGGGACGAUUUAGAAAUAGAAAUUGGCGUUCACCACCAUCAAUACAAUCGAUUAAAUGAUUGAAGAUUUUAGGAUAGACGGAUUGAUUUAUAUGGGGAAUUCUUGGAAAGGAAGGAUUUAAGAGAGGCAAAGAAUAAUAUUAACCCACUAUUCAAUUACCUACAUGCAUGAUUUCUUACACAUAUUGAGAUUUUAAUCAUUUAAAGUGAGGUUUUUUUAAUUCAUUUAUUUAUAAGUUUAAUCUUAUUUAAGUAUAAUACACACACACACACACACACACACAUAUAGCUGCUUCUUUUUUUUUUUUUCAUUCAUUCUUAUUGAAUCAGAACCAUAUUAAACCCGAACUUCUCAUUGUCCUAAUUUUUAUCAUUUCCCGUUUUGUUACCUAAAUUUUUACCGUCCUUUUAAUUAUCAAGACUGAAUUAAACCUGAACAUUUCCCUUUUUUUCUUUUUCUUUUUUGCCAUAUGGCAUUUUGCUAACUAUGGGCGCAGAGCAUAUACAAUGUUUUAAUGAUGUUUGAAUGAGGUCCCUCCCUAGGUAUGUGAUCUUGUGGGUAUAUUGACAAUUUCACCUUUAUUCUCGCACCCACAAGCUCUCCAAAUGUUUAGAUUCAUGAGACACAACAAGAUAACAAAUGUGAGUUGUUGUUUUGAGAAAAUUUCCACUAAAUGUUACAUAGGAAGCUACGUACUGGUUGUGGAUAUGUCUUCUCUCGCAUAUGGGGGCCUUUUCCAAUGUAUUGUUAGAGGCAACGGUUGCUCAUGAAUACAUGAUUCUUAUGAACCCAGCUUCAGUAUCCGUUGACCCAUUCAUGUUUACAUUUUACUUUUUGGUAUUUAGAAAAUGAAGCCAAUACGAGGAUUUUGAUAAUUUGUAACACCCUGAUCCUCUUUUAGAUCAAAAUUACAGUUACAAAAUUAGUUGGGAUAAGGAAGACAUGAUGAUGAAUGUAUAAUGUGGGAGUUCAUACUUGUAGAUGCCGGGAGAACCAUCUAGACCUAGCAAUGGGCAGGCCUCGGGCCUGGCUUUUGAUCUGGUAGGAUUGGGCUUAUCAGGCCAGGUAUAUUCAAGACAUUGGUUUUCAUGGCCCAUGCCCAGCCCAUUGCCAGCCCUUCAUCCAUCCAUCUUUACUGCUGAACUAAGAAAAAAAAAUUCGUAUGUAAUUUCCUGACGAUAUAUUGAAUACUGUAUAUAAUAUACCCAAUAUUUUCAUAAUCGUUAUGCAUUGCAAAUGAUAAUAAGGGUUGAAUCAAGCAGUUUCUGGUGUGCUGGCGUGUUCUGUAAUUUUUUUUCUCCUUUUUUUCUGUAAAUUUCUGGCUUUGGCCUGUUUAGUAAUACAAUUAUCAAAGUUCAAAAAUAAUCAUAAUAAGGGUUGAAUCGAAUUGCAAAUCAUAUCAUAAAUCAUAAGAUUUUUCUGAUUUUCUUAAAAAUGUGAAAAAAUCUGAAAAGUAUAAAUGAAUCAGGAAAAUUUUAGAACUUGUCAAUCAUUCAUUUUCCAUCAAUAUGCACCAAGAUAAGUAACAAAUAUCAUGAAAUUGGCUAUUUAGAACUCUUAUAUGGUUACACAUCGUGAUAGUGUUAAAGGAUUCUCAUCUUUCCUUUGUCUUUUAAGAAAUUUAUCUUAAAAACCCUUUAAUAAUUUGUUAUUUCUACCCUUCUUGAGUGUAGAAUCACAUUGGGAAAAGCAACAUUUAAUUAUGUUGACAGACAAAAAGAUAUUUUAUUUAUUUGAUUUGGGUUUUUGAAUAUCAAAAUCUGCGAAUCUCCUCUCCAUCUUUAAUCUUGAAAACAUAUAGCAACCCUUUAACGAUUUGUUCUUUCUAGCUUUCUUGAGUGUAGAAUCACCUCGGAAAAAGCAACAUUUAAUUAUGCUGACAAACAAAAUAUUUUAUUUCUUUAAUUUUGGUUUUUGAAUGUCAAAUCUCUCUCUCUCUCUCUCUCUC